rnacentral:rRNA from 1 species
UACAGAGGGUGCGAGCGUUGUUCGGAUUCAUUGGGCGUAAAGGGUGCGUAGGUGGCGCCGUAAGUCAGGUGUGAAAUCUCGGGGCUUAACUCCGAAACUGCAUUUGAUACUGCGGUGCUUGAGGACUGGAGAGGAGACUGGAAUUUACGGUGUAGCAGUGAAAUGCGUAGAGAUCGUAAGGAAGACCAGUGGCGAAGGCGGGUCUCUGGACAGUUCCUGACACUGAGGCACGAAGGCCAGGGGAGCAAACGGG